rnacentral:rRNA from 1 species
GCACGAAAGUUAGCCGGCAGCUUCUUCUUGGGGUACCGUCAUUAUCUGCCCCCACGAAAGAGUUUUACAACCCUAGGGCCUUCAUCACUCACGCGGCAUGGCUGGAUCAGGCUUGCGCCCAUUGUCCAAUAUUCCCCA